rnacentral:lncRNA from 1 species
UAUUUAUUUAUUUAUUUAUUUAGAGAUGGAACCUCACUCUGUCACCCAGGCUGGAGUGCAGUGGGGUGAUCUUAGCUCACUGCAACCUCCACCUCCCAGCUUCAAGCAAUUCUCGUGCUUCAGCCUCCGGAGUAGCUGGGAAUAUAGGUGUGCGCCAUACUCAGCCAGUUUUUUUUGUAUUUUUAGUAAAGACAGGGUUUCACCAUGUUGGCCAGGCUGGUCUCGAACUCCUGACCUCAGGUGAUCCGCCCACCUCAGUCCUCCAAAGUGCUGGGAUUACAGGCAUGAGCCACUGCACCUGGCCUGAAUUUUUUUUUUUUUUUUUUUAUUGUUCAUUCUUGGGUGUUUCUCGCAGAGGGGGAUUUGGCAGGAUCAUAGGACAAUAGUGGAGGGAAGGUCAGCAGAUAAACAAGUGAACAAAGGUCUCUGGUUUUCCUAGGCAGAGGACCCUGCAGCCUUCCGCAGUGUUUGUGUCCCUGGGUACUUGAGAUUAGGGAGUGGUGAUGACUCUUAACGAGCAUGCUGCCUUCAAGCAUCUGUUUAACAAAGCACAUCUUGCACCGCCCUUAAUCCAUUUAACCCUGAGUGGACACAGCACAUGUUUCAGAGAGCACAGGGUUGGGGGUAAGGUCACAGAUCAACAGGAUAAGAAUUUUUCUUAGUACAGAGCAAAAUGAAAAGUCUCCCAUGUCUACCUCUCUCUACACAGACACGGCAACCAUCCGAUUUCUCAAUCUUUUCCCCACCUUUCCCCCCUUUCUACUCCACAAAACCGCCAUUGUCAUCAUGGCCCGUUCUCAAUGAGCUGCUGGGUACACCUCCCAGACGGGGUGGUGGCCGGGCAGACGGGCUCCUCACUUCCCAGUAGGGGCGGCCCGGCAGAGGCGCCCCUCACCUCCCGGACGGGUCGGCUGGCCGGGCUGGGGGCUGAUCCCCCCACCUCCCUCCCGGACGGGGCGGCUGGUA